UUCCAAAUAUAGUCCAGUUGACAACCAG
rnacentral:misc_RNA from 1 species